UAGCACGGACUUCGGUCUGGUGGCGAGUGGCGAACGGGUGAGUAAUGUAUCGGAACGUGCCCUAUUGGCGGGGAUAACUACGCGAAAGCGUAGCUAAUACAUACGCCCUUCCCGAAAGCGGGGACCUUCCCGGGCCUCGCAUAUUAAACGGCCGAUAUCGGAUUAGCUAGUUGGUGGAGCUAACGGCUCACCAAGACGACGAUCCGUAGCUGGUUUGAAGGGACGACCAGCCACACUGGGACUGAGACACGGCCCAGACUCACUGCGGGAGGCAACAGUGGGGGAAUUUUGGACAGUAAACCUGAUCCAGCCAUCCCGCGUGUGCGAUGAAGGCGGGUUUGUAAAGCACUUUUGGCGGGAAAGAAACGGCACAGGAUAAUACCCCCGAUGCAACUGACCAAUACCUGCAGAAUAAGCACCGGCUAACUACGUGCCAGCAGCCGCUGAUAUUACGUAAGUGCAAGCGUUAAUCGGAAUUACUGGGCGUAAAGCGUGCGCAGGCGGUUCGGAAAGAAAGAUGUGAAAUCCCAGAGCUUAACUUUGGAACUGCAUUUUUAACUACCGAGCUAGAGUGUGUCAGGGGAGAGUGGAAUUCCGCGAUGUAGCAGUGAAAUACGUAGAUAUACGGAGGAACACCGAUAAGCGAAGGCGACCUCCUGGGAUAACACUGACAACCAUGCACGAAAGCCGUGGGGAGCAAACGGGAUUAGAUACCCUGGUGAUCCACGCCCUAAACGAUGUCAGCUAGCUGUUGGGGCCUUCGGGCCUUGGUAGCGCAGCUAACGCGUGAAGUUGACCACCUGGGAAGUACGGUCGCAAAGAUUAAAACUCAAAGGAAUUGACGGGGACCCGCACAAGCGGUGGAUGAUGUGGAUUAAUUCGAUGCAACGCGAAAACCUUACCUACCAUGACAUAUGGAAUCCGAAGAGAUUUGGGAGUGCUGCUAGAGAACCGGAACACAGGUGCUGCAUGGCUGUCGUCAGCUCGUGUCGUGAGAUGUUGGGUUAAGUCCCGCAACGAGCGCAGCCCUUGUCAUUGGUUGCCACGAAGAACUCUAAUGAGACUGCCGGUGACAGAGCCCGGAAGGUGGGGAUGACGUCAAGUCCUCGUAACCCUGGGUAGGGCUUCACACGUCAUACAAUGGUCAGGACAGAGGGUCGCCAACCCGCAGUCAAUCCCAGAAACCCGAUCGUAGUCCGGAUCGCAGUCUGCAACUCGACUACGUGAAGUCGGAGAUCCUUAGUAAUCACCGGAUCAGCAUGUCGCGGUGAAACGUUCCAGAUGUACGCCAAUGUUGUCAGAAUUGGGUUUUACCAGAAAGUAGUUAGCCUAACCGUAAGGAGGGCGAUUACCACGACGGAUUCAUGACUAGGGUGAAGUCGUAACAAGGUAG
rnacentral:rRNA from 1 species